rnacentral:rRNA from 1 species
CUACGGGUCGCAGCAGUGAGGAAUAUUGCACAAUGGGGGGAACCCUGAUGCAGCAACGCCGCGUGGAGGAUGACGCAUUUCGGUGUGUAAACUCCUUUUAUAUGUCAAGAAAAUGACGGUAGCAUAUGAAUAAGCACCGGCUAACUCCGUGCCAGCAGCCGCGGUAAUACGGAGGGUGCAAGCGUUACUCGGAAUCACUGGGCGUAAAGGACGCGUAGGCGGGUUGGAAAGUCAGGUGUGAAAUCCUACAGCUUAACUGUAGAACUGCACUUGAAACUUCUAAUCUAGAGUAUGGGAGGGGGAGAUGGAAUUAGUGGUGUAGGGGUAAAAUCCGUAGAUAUCACUAGGAAUACCGAAAGCGAAGGCGAUCUCCUGGAACAUUACUGACGCUAAGGCGUGAAAGCGUGGGGAGCAAAUAGGAUUAGAUACCCGUGUAGUC